rnacentral:rRNA from 1 species
UAGAGAUCAGAAGCGAGAAUGUUGACAUGAGUAGCGACAAACAGGGUGAGAAACCCUGUCGCCGAAAGUCCAAGGGUUCCUGCUUAAAGCUAAUCUGAGCAGGGUAAGCCGGCCCCUAAGGCGAGGCCGAAAGGCGUAGUCGAUGGGAACCAGGUUAAUAUUCCUGGGCCAGUGGGAUGUGACGGAUCGCAGAUGUAGUUUGCCCUUAUCGGAUUGGGUGGGCUGCUGAGCGGUUCCAGGAAAUAGCCCCACAUCAGACCGUACCCUAAACCGACACAGGUGGACUGGUAGAGUAUACCAAGGCGCUUGAGAGAACCACGUUAAAGGAACUCGGCAAAAUGCCUCCGUAAGUUCGCGAGAAGGAGGCCCCAUAUGUACGCAAGUAUGUGUGGGGGGCACAAACUAGGGGGUGGCGACUGUUUACUUAAAACACAGGGCUGUGCGAAGCCGUAAGGCGACGUAUACAGUCUGACGCCUGCCCGGUGCUGGAAGAUUAAGAGGAGGGGUGCAAGCUCUGAAUUGAAGUCCCAGUAAACGGCGGCCGUAACAAUAACGGUCCUAAGGUAGCGAAAUUCCUUGUCGGGUAAGUUCCGACCUGCACGAAUGGCGUAACGAUCUCCCCGCUGUCUCUAACGUGGACUCAGCGAAAUUGAACUGUGUGUCAAGAUGCACACUACCCGCGGUUAGACGGAAAGACCCCAUGAACCUUUACUCCAGCUUUGCACUGGUAUCAGGAUUGUGAUGUGCGGGAUAGGUGGUAGGCAUUGAAGCGGGGACGCCAGUCUUCGUGGAGCCUCCCUUGAGAUACCACCCUUCGCCAUCUUGAUAUCUAACCGCGGCCCGUUAUCCGGGUCCGGGACCCUGCAUGGUGGGGAGUUUGACUGGGGCGGUCGCCUCCCAAACAGUAACGGAGGCGCGCGAUGGUUGGCUCAGACCGGUCGGAAAUCGGUCGUUGAGUGCAAUGGCAGAAGCCAGCCUGACUGCAAGACUGACAAGUCGAGCAGAGACGAAAGUCGGUCAUAGUGAUCCGGUGGUCCCAAGUGGGAGGGCCAUCGCUCAGCGGAUAAAAGGUACUCUGGGGAUAACAGGCUGAUGAUGCCCAAGAGUCCAUAUCGACGGCAUCGUUUGGCACCUCGAUGUCGGCUCAUCUCAUCCUGGGGCUGGAGCAGGUCCCAAGGGUAUGGCUGCUCGCCAUUUAAAGAGGUACGUGAGCUGGGUUUAGAACGUCGUGAGACAGUUCGGUCCCUAUCUGCCGUGGGUGCAGGAGACUUGAGAAGAGUUGACCCUAGUACGAGAGGACCGGGUUGAACGAACCACUGGUGGACCAGUUAUCGUGCCAACGGUAGUGCUGGGUAGCUAUGUUCGGACAGGAUAACCGCUGAAGGCAUCUAAGCGGGAAGCCCCCUUCAAAACAAGGUCUCCCUUGAGGGCCGUGGAAGACGACCACGUCGAUAGGCCAGAGGUGUAAGUGCAGCAAUGCAUUCAGCUGACUGGUACUAAUUGCCCGAUUGGCUUGAUCUG